ensembl:lncRNA
UGGGAUGGCAUGAACACGUCCCUGGAUCUUUGAUUUCUUGUUAAGUAAAAGUGGGCCCCUAAAAUCAAGGCAGAUGUUUUCACUGCCUGUCACCAAAGCAGAGGAGGGCAGCUGCUUAAGAUCAGUGAGGACACCACUGUGGGGUCUUCCCUCCAUUAGUCUCACCCUUGGAGCCCGGUCAUUCUAUCCUGAAGAGAAUGAACGUGCCCCGUGGGACAGCCCCUCAGGAGCCCCCACUGGCCCCUGUGGACAACCUGAGACCCCCGAGAGGAGACUGACCACUCCCUGCUGGCCCUGCCCUCCCAGGCCUGGGGGUCUCCGCCUUCUUUGUUCUGAGCUGGAGGAGGGAGGGGCUACUCUUCUCACAGAGGACCCUUGGCCCCUGGCCCAUGCUGGGUGUCCAAGGGAGGUAGGAAGCAGCCCUUCUAGGUGCCUCUGUCCACUUCGCCGGCACAGCUGUCCCGAGCCCAGGAACGGGCUCUUUCCUCUACUUACAGACUGAGGGAAAGCUCCUGCUUCCGAGGCAGGAGUCACAGCACCUGUGGAAGCAGACUCGCUGAGGGAGACCUUGAGUGACAGCCAUUCCAGCCUCAGCUUCCCUGGUGGUAAAAGAAGGCACCCAACACAUGGCAGGCGAGGAAAUGUGUUCCUCUGUGAAAGGAAAAGAAGACUACAUUGGAGAGCAGGUUUGGGUCCCAUACCACUCCAGCCUGGGGGUGCUCCUGCACUAAGAAAUGAGCUGUUUAUGCUGCCCCUACAUGAGCAUCUGUAGAGGACCCUGGCAGAGCUGCUUCAGAAGCAAGAGGGGCCAAGUGGAACAGAUCUGCAAAUGCAGUUUAGAAAUCCUGGCUGAUGUGCCUUCUGGAAUUCAAGGUUCCAGCUGUGAAUACUGCAGCAAGAGGGAGAAAUGCACCAGGGCAGAGAGGAAAACAACAGGGCAGGUGGUGAUAUCGAACCUGAAGAGUGUGCCCCGAAUUCCUAACCAGACUGUGAGCUUCUUGAGGUUUCACCGAGAGUUGGCUGAAAAAGGGCCCAGAGAGGGACUAAGGGAAAAAAUUUCCCAUACACCAACAUCAAGAAAGGAAAUGACAGGCUAUUGUUUGGCCAUAGUUCCUUGCUGCCUCCAGCACUGCCUCCACCCAUGCUGCAGCAACCAUGUUGCCAGUCAACCAAUCAGCAACAGUUUCACUCCAGUGACCGUGUGGCUAACAGUCAGCCAAUCAGCAACAGCUUCACUCCAGUGACCGUGUGGCUAACAGCCAGCCAAUCAGCAACAGCUUCACUCCGGUGACCGUGUGGCUAACAGCCAGCCAAUCAGCAACAGCUUCACUCCGGUGACCGUGUGGCUAACAGUCAGCCAAUCAGCAACAGCUUCACUCCGGUGACCGUGUGGCUAACAGUCAGCAAUCAGCAACAGCUUCACUCCAGCAACCACUGCUGCUGAACGUGAGGUUGCAGAAUCAGCAACAGCCACACUUCUGUAACCAUAUUUCCACAGCUAAAGAUGAACAAUCCAUGAACACUCCCACUUCUGAGAGUCUGUGCACCGCUGAGCCGCACGCUUCCCGAACACUCUACAACCAGUUGUUGCUUUGUUCAGUGUGCACCUCACAAGGAUGGCUCUCCCUUGUGUAGCAGACACUUGGGUCUCUGCACUGAGACACCGAGUGGGGGCCUCUUCCUCUUCCUUUUGGGGGUGGAGCAUCAGACACAGCAAGAGCCGCUUGCCAGAUAGAAUGAUGGCACCGUGAAGGCAGGCGCCAGGUCAGCCUUUCUCACUGUUCUAUCUCCGUUCUGCGGACAGCAGUAACAAAGAGGAGUAACACACGUCAGGGCUUCUAAGAUAGAGCUGGGAGGCCAUGAAGGAAGUGAGGCUGUGCACGUACACCCCAUCUCUAUUCAGAAAGAAUGUAACUUUUGAACUGUGCCUCACUGUUGUUAUCUUGACCUUCCUU